rnacentral:piRNA from 3 species
GGGUCGUUAGCUCAGUUGGUAGAGCAGU